rnacentral:rRNA from 1 species
CAGGACGAACGCUGGCGGCGUGCCUAACACAUGCAAGUCGAACGGAGCUAGGAAGCUUGCUUCCGGAGCUAGUGGCGGACGGGUGAGUAACACGUGAGUAACCUGCCUUUCAGAGGGGAAUAAUGUUUGGAAACGGACACUAAUACCGCAUAAUAUAUUUUAAUCGCAUGAUUGAAAUAUCAAAGGAGCAAUCCGCUGAAAGAUGGACUCGCGUCUGAUUAGCCAGUUGGCGGGGUAACGGCCCACCAAAGCGACGAUCAGUAGCCGGACUGAGAGGUUGAACGGCCACAUUGGGACUGAGAUACGGCCCAGACUCCUACGGGAGGCAGCAGUGGGGAAUAUUGGGCAAUGGGCGCCAAGCCUGACCCAGCAACGCCGCGUGAAGGAAGAAGGCUUUCGGGUUGUAAACUUCUUUUGAGAGGGAAGAGGAGAAGACGGUACCUCUUGAAUAAGCCGCGGCUAACUACGUGCCAGCCGCAGC